UCCAAGACUUAAGCCCAUGCAGUCUAAGUAUUAAGCAACUAUACUGUGAAACUGCGAAAUGGCUCAUUAAAUCAGUCAUUAUUUAUAUGAUAGUACCGUUUAACCUGGAUAACCCGUGGUAAUUCUAGAGCUAAUACAUGCUAAAAACCUCGACUUCGGAAGGGGGUGUAUUAUUAGAUAAAAAACCAAUGCCCUUCGGGGCUCCUUGGUGAUUCAUAAUAACUUAACGAAUCGCAUGGCCUUGCGCCGGCGAUGGUUCAUUCAAAUUUCUGCCCUAUCAACUUUCGAUGGUAGAAUAGUGGUCUACCAUGGUUUCAACGGGUAACGGGGAAUUAGGGUUCUAUUCCGGAGAGGGAGCCUGAGAAACGGCUACCACAUCCAAGGAAGGCAGCAGGCGCGCAAAUUACCCAAUCCCGAUACGGGGAGGUAGUGACAAUAAAUACUGAUACAGGGCUCUUUCGGGUCUUGUAAUUGGAAUGAGUACAAUCUAAAUCCCUUAACGAGGAACAAUUGGAGGGCAAGUCUGGUGCCAGCAGCCGCGGUAAUUCCAGCUCCAAUAGCGUAUAUUAAAGUUGUUGCAGUUAAAAAGCUCGUAGUUGAACCUUGGGCCUGACCGAUCUGUCCUCCUAAUCGAGCGCACGGAUUCGGUUGGGCCUUUCCUUCUGGGGAGCCCUAUGCCCUUCACUGGGCGUAGUGGGGAACCAGGACUUUUACCUUGAAAAAAUUAGAGUGUUCAAAGCAGGCAUUUGCUCGAAUACAUUAGCAUGGAAUAAUAGAAUAGGACAUCGGUUCUAUUUUGUUGGUUUCUAGGACCGCUGUAAUGAUUAAUAGGGAUAGUCGGGGGCGUCAGUAUUCAAUUGUCAGAGGUGAAAUUCUUGGAUUUAUUGAAGACUAACUAUUGCGAAAGCAUUCGCCAAGGAUGUUUUCAUUAAUUCAGUGAACGAAAGUUAGGGGAUCGAAGACGGAUCAGAUACCGUCGGUAUUCUUAACCAUUAACUAUGCCGACUAGGGAUCGGACGGGGGGUUUUUUAUGGUCUCUGUUUCGGCACCUUACUAGAAAUCAAAGUUAUUAGGGCUCUCGGGGUGGA
rnacentral:rRNA from 1 species